GGACUACUGGGGUUUCUAAUCCUGUUCGCUCCCCACACUUUCGCUCCUCAGCGUCAGAACAGGCCCAGAGAACCGCCUUCGCCACCGGUGUUCCUCCUGAUAUCUGCGCAUUUCACCGCUACACCAGGAAUUCCGUUCUCCCCUGCCUGCCUCCAGCCAGCCCGUAUCCACUGCAGGCCCGGGGUUAAGCCCCGGGAUUUCACAGCGGACGCAACUGGCCGCCUACGAGCUCUUUACGCCCAAUAAUUCCGGACAACGCUUGCGCCCUACGUAUUACCGCGGCGGCUGGCAC
rnacentral:rRNA from 1 species